GGUUUAUGUCAGAAGCCGAAUUUAAAAACCCUCCUUUACGUAUGGGAAUAACGAACUAAGUCAUUAUACACGCGUCUUCAACGUUUUCGACGGGAGUGGAAUAAACUAAUGACUUGAGAAAACCUCAAAUGCAAAAAUCUAGAGGAUUUAAAUCUGGUGAUCGAGCAGGCCAGUGUUCUGUACCUCCCCUACCUGUCCAAGUUUUGGAAAUACUGUAUCUAAGUGAUUACGUACAUUGAUACUAAAAUGGGCUGGUGCACCAUCAUGCAUGAACCAUAAGUGUUGCCUCAACUGUAAAGGAAUUUCUUUAAAAGGAACAGAAUUUAAAUUAGUCCGGUGCCUAGAUAAACUGCGAAGGGAGGUGUCAAACAAACAAAAGGAACCCAAUAAUUAGUAAUGCCAAGUGAUUUUUAUUUCGCUAAUAACUCGAAAGGUAAAAAAGGUAGGCGAUUGCGGUUUGCAGGUUUUUUCUAGUAAAUUAAAUCUACUUUCCGAUUUUGCUAUCAAAAUUAUAGCGAGGCUUUUAAUUUUUGUAGAAAAAUCAAAGUAAUAAUGUUUAAUUCAAAUGACCCCUGCUGCCAAUUUUACUAAAAUCUUUCGCAUACAAGUAUAUACAUUUCCAAAGUCCAAAUUGAACAAGUCAAGUGAAAACUGGAUAAGUCUUAUCACAGUGGCGGCUGGUCUAUGUAUGCUGCAGUGCUGCAGAGCCCCAAAGAAAAUUAAAUAAUCUAUUAAAAAUAUGAUCUAUAAACCAAAACCCAAAAAAAAAGAAAAAAUCUCCGUCUCGCAUAUUUUUUACUCCUUUUUUAUCAAUUAAACAAAACGCAAACCCUCUCGCGUCAUCACCGCCGAACCCGCCAGCACCUCCAGUGCAUCAGCGAGUCAACAGCAGCCGAGUAAAGUAAAGUACCGUCGACCCGGUCGACGAUUCGAAAUAAUCAUCUGGUCCACACGAUCGUGCUCUACGCGCUCCUUCGCACACCCGCGCUGUUCCCCGCCACCCCCGUGUCUAUCGGAAUGGUACGCUGAAAUAACCCGAUAAUUCGCUGCAUUUAUUCCAGCUCUAGGCGGAAAAUGCAAUUUGAGACUUGAGAUCGGGAUU